rnacentral:tRNA from 1 species
GGGGAUGUAGCACAGUGGUAGAGCUCUUGCCUAGCAUGCAUGAGUCCCUGGGUUCAAUCCCCAGCACCACAA